rnacentral:lncRNA from 1 species
AUAAUUAUACAUAGCUGUGAUAGCUUAGAUAAUUAGAAAUCCAUGGAACUCAUUAAGAGCCCAAAUAUUACAUAAAGGCAUCAGUAAGGACUGUCACAAAUUACAACCAUUCGAAAAAAACAAUAAAACAGUCAAGCUUAAAAAAAAUUCAUAACCGUAGGGGGACCAGUCUUCAUAACAGCACACAUAACAUCCAAACCAAC